UACGUAGGGGGCAAGCGUUGUCCGGAAUCAUUGGGCGUAAAGCGCGCGUAGGCGGCCCGGUAAGUCCGCUGUAAAAGUCCAGGGCUCAACCCUGGAAAGCCGGUGGAUACUGUCGGGCUAGAGUCCGGAAGAGGCGAGUGGAAUUCCUGGUGUAGCGGUGGAAUGCGCAGAUAUCAGGAGGAACACUGAUGGCGAAGGCAGCUCGCUGGGACGGUACUGACGCUGAGGCGCGAAAGCCAGGGGAGCGAACGGG
rnacentral:rRNA from 1 species